GCACCUGCACCGCAGGACUGACUGCCAACAAUAGCUCGUUUGCAUAUGAACUACUACCAAUUAAAUCACCGGUCACCCCUUCCCCUACUCCAACUCUCCCAGCAAUCUUUCACAAAAUGUUCAAGAAGGCGAUCGAGGUGAAAUCACAACAGCGGCUAUCGGGGGCAGACCGCAAGAAACUCAAACGUGCAAUCAGAGAGCGAUUCCCCAAUGCUUCUGAUGCUGAUAUCGAUAUUUUACUCCCCCCCAAGGUGGAAAUAACUGUUUCAAAGUACCCAAACCGUAUACUAGUCUAUGCUCUCGAAGGUGAUUGUCCCAUGUUCUAUGACAUUGAUGGUCGAGGAUCAGAAUUAUUUCCUACAGUUUUUGCCUUGUGGAAGGUUCCACAUCUUUUGCCUGCUUUUCUACUGAAAGGGGCUGAGGUUUCUCGAUUUGUGCUUGGUGGAGCUGAUUUGAUGUUUCCUGGCAUCCAAAUUCAUGCUGAAAGUCUUCCAUCAUUUUCUGCUGGUGAACCAUGGACUGUCAAAGUUCCUGGAAAUCCAGCUCCAAUAGCAGUAGGGACAACCACCAUGAGUAGCACAGAAGCAUUGAAAGCUGGUUUGCGAGGAAAAGCAUUAAAAAUAGGUCACUACUACCAUGAUUCACUUUGGGAACUGGCCGAAAAAUGUUGUGUUCCAAAUGCUGGUUUCUUACAAGAUAUUGUAUUAGAGGAUCCUGCUUUGUCUUCUCCUGUCAAGACUUCUGACUCAUGUGAUGAUGACUCCUUAGUGAAGUUAACAAAUGUAAUCGAACAUAUGCCAGAGGCUAGCACCACUGAUGGAGCUUCCACUAUUCCUGAUUAUGCAGACAUGGAAGAUCCAAUAGUGAUGAAUGGAGUUAGUGAGCAAAUAACCACCGCUAUGGUUGAUUUGAAAUUUGAAGAAAGUGGAUUGUGUGUUGGGUCUAGUUUGAGUGAACAACAUCCAUUAUCUGUUGAGGAUAUGGAUAUGUUGCUGGACAAGUGUCUCUUGCAAGCCUUGCAUACAACAGUAAAAGAUAAGGAUCUUCCUAUUCCAGGAAGUAUAUUAUGGUCUAGCCAUGUGCUUCCUUGUAGACCUUCUGGUAUUACCUUAGACAUAAAGAAAUCCUCUUAUAAGAAAUUGUCUAAGUGGCUACAAUCCAAAUCUGUAACCGGAGUGAUCUCAGUUAAAGAGGAUAAACACAAAAAGGAGGUAUCUUUAGUUGCAGUAAACCGUAAUCAUUCAGACUACUUAUCUUUCAAGCCAGAGAAGAAGAAAGUGGAUAAGCAUGAGCAAUCUGCAACAAGUGCUGCUAGUGAAGGACAGCCGCAUAAACUAUUUGAUGUUGUGGAGCUUUACAAGCCGAAUGUUCAUGUGAACUCUAUAUUUUCUGCCAUUGGAGCAGACACUGGCAAACUGUAUAAUGCUUCAGAAGCUUCUCAAGUAGUCUUUGGAUACAUUGAAAAGGAAAAGUUAGCAAAACAAGCAGAGAAGUCUGUUGUGAUUUUAGAUGCAACUUUGUGUGAUGCUUUGUUUAAGGGCACUAUAAAGAAAGGUGGGAUGUAUCCAACUGAAAUCCAUAAAAAAGAUAUUGGUCCAAUUUUUGUCAGCCGAAUGCAAGCCCACCAUGUAGUGACGCGAGGAAGUGAUACUGUCGUUCGAAAAGGUUCCCUUAAACCACUCCAGAUAGUUACGGAACGAAGGCAGGGGAACAAAAAAGUUACAAAACUUUCUGGUCUGGAGUCCUUUUUGAUAGAUGCAGAGACAUUGGCUUCAGAGUUGCAGAAGAAGUUCGCUUGUAGUACAACAGUAUCUGAACUUCCUGGUAAAAAGGGCCUUGAAGUUUUAGUCCAAGGAGGUGUCAUUGAUGAUCUUGCAAGACAUCUUGUUGAGCAGUAUGGGAUCCAAAAGAGAUACAUUGAAGUUCUUGACAAGACUAAAAAGUAACUAUAAGGUGAUAUUAGAGACAUGAAAGCCUUUGUGUGCAGUUGAGGAUAUAUUCUGACACACUGCAACCACAGUAGAAAUUACCAUUCGAUGCCAGGACUCGGGUAGGGCAGAACACAUGAAUUGAGACUCAUUUGCUUGACUACAUCUAUAUAUCCUUGAUUAGGAGGCGGCAUGGCGAGAGGUUGCAAUUGUAAUAAUUAAUGGACUGUCAAAAGUUCCAGUGGGUUGAUGAUAUGUGGCAAUGUCGUGUAUACAUUAAGAAUAUCAAUAAACUGGGAUAAGAAAAUAGUGGAGAAACAUAAAAGUGUAUUAACAGUCCAUGCAGGAUGUUCACCAAAUACCGAGAAAUGAUCUUGGACAAGCUCAGCAAAAUGGCAAUGGUCAUCUGAUGCCCCUUGGGCAGGCAACCUUAUAAUCCACCACCUCAUUCAAUCUUGUUCUGUUGAGGGCAUUGUUCGACUCAAAUGAGAUAUAGGGCCCAAGAUUAAAAUUGUAAUUUCAGUCUAGUAAGAAAAAGGUGUGUGUUGGGUGCGAUUCACACUUCGAAAAAGAACAUCAGAGAGCAGGAUUAGAAUGUUGAAUGCCAGCACUAUAGGGAAUUGGAGUGCAACAUUAUCAAUGCAAGGUUAUACUUUGCACAGAAGGUGGGAUAGCUGAAGAAGUGGCAAAUUUAUAUCCUCGGGCAUUUGUAAUACUUCAAUUGAAGAGUACAAAUGUUUGGUUGUUGCCCCAAGCAUUAAGGAUGUCUUACAGAUUUGUAGAUUCGAAGGCUACAAACUGGCACGGGAGGAGCUCUGCAGAAAAUGCGAGAGACGAACAUCCUGCCAUGUUAAAGAUUGUGUUGGUGUUUGGUUAGAGCACUCACAAAGAACUCUCUGACCAUUUUGCCGAAUCAUCAAAAAUAAAAAUUUAAAAAUUAAAAAAAAUAAAAUUAAUGUGGCUGAAACGGUUCUCUUCCAAGAACAAGAACGGAAAGACAGAAUCGAUCUUAUCUUCU